rnacentral:other from 1 species
UAUCUUCUGUGAUGUACGUUAUCAUUCUCGUGGUAACUUGAGCCGAUAAGAUAUUAAACAGGGAAUCUGAAAGUCGUGUUGUUGUGCAUGUCCAUCCACGUGGAAAGCCUGAGACACUACCUAAGGUACCCACUUGAACCUCUGGUUCAAGUUCAAUGACUGAGACGGCAUUGCGGUUGAUAC